GAUGAACGCUAGCUACAGGCUUAACACAUGCAAGUCGAGGGGUAGCAGGGUAGCAAUACCGCUGACGACCGGCGCACGGGUGAGUAACACGUAUCCAACCUUCCCAUAACUCUGGGAUAGCCUUUCGAAAGAAAGAUUAAUACCGGAUGGUACUUUUUCAAGGCAUCUUGAGAAAGUUAAAGAUUUAUUGGCUAUGGAUGGGGAUGCGUUCCAUUAGAUAGUUGGUGAGGUAACGGCUCACCAAGUCUUCGAUGGAUAGGGGUUCUGAGAGGAAGGUCCCCCACAUUGGUACUGAGACACGGACCAAACUCCUACGGGAGGCAGCAGUGAGGAAUAUUGGUCAAUGGGCGAGAGCCUGAACCAGCCAAGUAGCGUGAAGGAUGAAGGUCCUAUGGAUUGUAAACUUCUUUUAUAGUAGAAUAAAGUGAUCCACGUGUGGAUUCUUGUAUGUAUACUAUGAAUAAGGAUCGGCUAACUCCGUGCCAGCAGCCGCGGUAA
rnacentral:rRNA from 1 species